rnacentral:rRNA from 1 species
AUACGUAGGUGACAAGCGUUAUCCGGAUUUAUUGGGUUUAAAGGGUGCGUAGGCGGAUGAUUAAGCGUGAGGUGAAAUGCCACUGCUCAACAGUGGAACUGCCUCGCGAACUGGUUGUCUUGAAUGCUCCUGCCGUGGGAGGAAUGUGUGGUGUAGCGGUGAAAUGCAUAGAGAUCACACAGAACACCGAUUGCGAAGGCAUCUCACGAAGGGGUGAUUGACGCUGAGGCACGAAAGCGUGGGGAUCAAACAGGAUUAGAUACCCUGGUAGUCCACGCAGUAAACGAUGAUAACUAACCGCUGGGUCGUAGUGAUUCAGUGGCCAAGCGAAAGCGAUAAGUUAUCCACCUGGGGAGUACGACCGCAAGGUUGAAACUCAAAUGAAUUGACGGGG